rnacentral:rRNA from 1 species
GAUGAACGCUGGCGGCGUGCCUAAUACAUGCAAGUCGAGCGAACAGACGAGGAGCUUGCUCCUCUGACGUUAGCGGCGGACGGGUGAGUAACACGUGGAUAACCUACCUAUAAGACUGGGAUAACUUCGGGAAACCGGAGCUAAUACCGGAUAAUAUAUUGAACCGCAUGGUUCAAUAGUGAAAGACGGUUUUGCUGUCACUUAUAGAUGGAUCCGCGCCGCAUUAGCUAGUUGGUAAGGUAACGGCUUACCAAGGCGACGAUGCGUAGCCGACCUGAGAGGGUGAUCGGCCACACUGGACCUGAGACACGGUCCAGACUCCUACGGGAGGCAGCAGUAGGGAAUCUUCCGCAAUGGGCGAAAGCCUGACGGAGCAACGCCGCGUGAGUGAUGAAGGUCUUCGGAUCGUAAAACUCCGUUAUUAGGGAAGAACAAAUGUGUAAGUAACUAUGCACGUCUUGACGGUACCUAAUCAGAAAGCCACGGCUAACUACGUG